rnacentral:rRNA from 1 species
AGGAAAAGAAACCAACAGGGAUUGCCCUAGUAACGGCGAGUGAAGCGGCAACAGCUCAAAUUUGAAAUCUGGCUCUUUCAGAGUCCGAGUUGUAAUUUGCAGAGGGCGCUUUGGUGUUGGCAGCGGUCCAAGUUCCUUGGAACAGGACGUCACAGAGGGUGAGAAUCCCGUACGUGGUCGCUAGCCUUCGCCGUGUAAAGCCCCUUCGACGAGUCGAGUUGUUUGGGAAUGCAGCUCUAAAUGGGAGGUAAAUUUCUUCUAAAGCUAAAUACUGGCCAGAGACCGAUAGCGCACAAGUAGAGUGAUCGAAAGAUGAAAAGCACUUUGGAAAGAGAGUCAAAUAGCACGUGAAAUUGUUGAAAGGGAAGCGCUUGCAGCCAGACUUGCCUGUAGUUGCUUAUCCGGACUUUUGUCCGAUGCACUCUUCUGGGGACAGGCCGUUCUCAGGUUGUUGGACUGGAUAAAGGUCUCUGUCAUGCACCUCUCUUCGGGGAGAACAUACAGAGGAAACCACAUGCAACCAGCCUGGACUGAGGUCUUCGCAUCUGCUACUAUGCUGGUCCCUGGCUGUU